rnacentral:rRNA from 1 species
CCCUUAGAUGUUCUGGGCUGCACACGUGCUACACUGGCAGGUUCAGCGAGCUUCAUGCCCUGAUCUGAAAGGAAUGGGAAAUCUUUUCAAAACCUGCCGUGCUUGGGAUUGAUGUUUGCAAUUAUUCAUCUUCAACGAGGAUUGCCUUGUAAGCGCACGUCAUCAGCGUGCAUUGAAUACGACCCUGUAUUCUGUACACACCGCCCGUCGCUCCUACCGAUUGAAGUUUUCGGUGAGUUGACAGGAGGAUUUUUUUGAAACUGGUUCGCCAGUGGAUUUUAGAUCCAAAUGCCAACGAAUCGAUGGCUUUAGAGGAAGGAGAAGUCGUAACA